rnacentral:rRNA from 1 species
CACGUAGGGCGCAAGCGUUGUCCGGAAUUAUUGGGCGUAAAGAGCUCGUAGGCGGUCUGUUACGUCUGCUGUGAAAACCCAGGGCUUAACCCUGGGCUUGCAGUGGAUACGGGCAGACUAGAGGCAGGUAGGGGAGAAUGGAAUUCCCGGUGUAGCGGUGAAAUGCGCAGAUAUCAGGAAGAACACCCGUGGCGAAGGCGGCUCUCUGGGACGGUACUGACGCUGAGACGCGAAAGCGUGGGGAGCGAACAGG